AAGUCGUAACAAGGUUUCCGUAGGUGAACCUGCGGAAGGAUCUUCAAUGGGUUUACCGCCUCCGGGCGAAACUCCACCCUUUGUAACCGCGGCCCGGAUUCGGCGCCUGGCGGGACCACCCCCGCUCGCGGGGGCCCGCCUGCCGAAUUAGCCAACCCUGCCUUGAAAUUGAAUCUGAGACAGUUAACUAACAAAG
rnacentral:misc_RNA from 1 species